CUUAAAAUCCCUCUAAGAGUGAAGAUAUUCGGUUGGUUCCUAAACAGAAGGGUCAUCUUAACUAGAGAUAAUCUGGCACGUCGCAACUGGCAAGGCACCAAGGCGUGUGUCUUUUGUCAACAUGACGAGUCUAUUAAGCACUUACUUUUUGAGUGUAAGUUCGCUCGGGCGGUUUGGGCCAUAGUUCAAGUAGCUUCAUAUCUAUACCCACCACGUAGUGCACGUAAUAUGUUCGGCAACUGGUUGAGGGGUAUUGAUAAACAAUUUUCUGCACACAUAUUCUUGUGGGGGCGGCUGCCUUAUGCUGGGCAUUAUGGCUUACCAGGAAUGAUGUGGUUUUCAAUAAAAAAUGUGUUUCAUAUCCUAUGUAGGUUAUUCAUGUAUGUAUGCGAUGGCUCCGUACUUGGUCUAUCCUGCAGAGGCCGGAGGACAUGGACCUUUUUAUGA
rnacentral:rRNA from 1 species